GACUAAAAUUAUCAGAAUGACAUUUAGCACCCAAAAAAGACAACAUUUAAACUGAGAAAGAGAGAAAGAUGGGGAAUUCUUAUUAAGAACUAUCUCAGCCUUAUACGAUGGAUUAUGGAAAUUGGUCGUCUUUAGCUAUUUUGACGAAGUCAUGAAGUCUGAGAACAUAGAAAUAUGGGCACUUCUUUGGCCCUGGACUAUUAUUCUUCACAUUAGGUGAAAAGUAUGCAGAGGUUGGCCAAUGAAAAAGCUGCAAUUUCAGGAAUGAGCAAAUUCCCUCUUUAGCGCUAAAACUUCAGAGGCAACCCUAAGCAAUUUGAUGCAUUAAAUGUUUUGCUUUUAGGAUGAUGGAAGAGAUUCCUUCUUUUUUUUUGGGUAAAUAAUCUUGGUCUGCUUUCUUU
rnacentral:misc_RNA from 1 species